rnacentral:sRNA from 1 species
ACAUUAUUUCACUUAUUUUUGUUGAACGGUUUAGAUUGAAGGGAAUUAAUUUUAUUGAACGGUUUAGAUUCAAUCAGAUCAUAUAAAGUUUAGAAGAUUGUUAAGACCAAAUUACCCUUAAUGAUUUUGAAUACCACAGAACAAAAUCCAAAAUUAAAAUCAAAAUUGAGGCCAAAUUAGACAAAAUUUCAAUUUGUACUUCCCUUUUAAUAAUAAGGGGAUAAUUGACUCUCUUAACAACAAAAAA